GGGCCCGUAGUCUAGCGGUAGGAUUGAAAGCAAUUCCCUAAGGCCCGCCUGACGCGCGGGAGAUCCCGGGAGGGAAGACCCCGGGAAUUCAAAUCCCGGCGGGCCCA
rnacentral:tRNA from 1 species